rnacentral:rRNA from 1 species
UGAAAUCUCACCAGGCCCGGACACUGGAAGGAUUGACAGAUUGAUAGCUCUUUCUUGAUUCGGUGCGUGGUGGUGCAUGGCCGUUCUUAGUUGGUUGAGUGAUUUGUCUUGUUAAUUCCGAUAACGAACGAGACUCUGUCCUGCUAACUAGUUUGUAUUCUCACAGAGUGCAAUACUUCUUAGAGGGACUAUAUGUGUCAAGCAUAUGGAAGUUUGAGGCAAUAA